rnacentral:rRNA from 1 species
UCCGGCGGGUGCAAACGUUAAUCGGAAUUACUGGGCGUAAAGCGCACGUAGGCGGCACGUUAAGUGGGGUGUGAAAGCCCUGGGCUCAACCUGGGAAUUGCAUUCCAAACUGACGGGCUAGAGUGUGGUAGAGGGGGGUAGAAUUCCCUGUGUAGCGGUGAAAUGCGUAGAUAUAGGGAGGAAUACCUGUGGCGAAGGCGGCCCCCUGGACCAACACUGACGCUGAGGUGCGAAAGCGUGGGGAGCAAACAGG